UGGGCCAUGGUGUAAUGGUAACACAGCAGAUUUUGGUUCUGUUGUUCAGGGUUCGAGUCCUUGUGGCCCAA
rnacentral:tRNA from 1 species